AACGCUGGCGGCGUGCCUAAUACAUGCAAGUCGAACGGUCUUUCUAUGGAAGCUUGCUUCCACUGAGAAGAUAGUGGCGAACGGGUGAGUAACACGUGGGUAACCUGCCCAUAAGAGGGGGAUAACAUCCGGAAACGGGUGCUAAUACCGCAUAGUUUUCUUGAUCGCAUGAUUGAGAAAGGAAAGACGGCCUUUGUGCUGUCGCUUAUGGAUGGACCCGCGGCGUAUUAGUUAGUUGGUGAGGUAACGGCUCACCAAGACGAUGAUACGUAGCCGACCUGAGAGGGUGAUCGGCCACAUUGGGACUGAGACACGGCCCAAACUCCUACGGGAGGCAGCAGUAGGGAAUCUUCCGCAAUGGACGAAAGUCUGACGGAGCAACGCCGCGUGAGUGAAAGAAGGUUUUCGGAUCGUAAAACUCUGUUGUCAGAGAAGAACAAGUUGGAGAGUAACUGCUCCAGCCUUGACGGUAUCUGACCAGAAAGCCACGGCUAACUACGUGCCAGCCGCGGC
rnacentral:rRNA from 1 species